rnacentral:rRNA from 1 species
UUAGGUUAAGUUAUGAAGGGCGCACGGUGGAUGCCUUGGCACUAGGAGCCGAUGAAGGACGGGACUAACACCGAUAUGCUUCGGGGAGCUGUAAGUGAGCUUUGAUCCGGAGAUUUCCGAAUGGGGGAAC